GAGUUUGAUCGUGGCUCAGGACGAACGCUGGCGGCGUGCCUAAUACAUGCAAGUAGAACGCUGAAGGAGGAGCUUGCUUCUCUGGAUGAGUUGCGAACGGGUGAGUAACGCGUAGGUAACCUGCCUGGUAGCGGGGGAUAACUAUUGGAAACGAUAGCUAAUACCGCAUAAUAGUAGAUGUUGCAUGACAUUUGCUUAAAAGGUGCAAUUGCAUCACUACCAGAUGGACCUGCGUUGUAUUAGCUAGUUGGUGAGGUAACGGCUCACCAAGGCGACGAUACAUAGCCGACCUGAGAGGGUGAUCGGCCACACUGGGACUGAGACACGGCCCAGACUCCUACGGGAGGCAGCAGUAGGGAAUCUUCGGCAAAUGGACGGAAGUCUGACCGAGCAACGCCGCGUGAGUGAAGAAGGUUUUCGGAUCGUAAAGCUCUGUUGUAAGAGAAGAACGAGUGUGAGAGUGGAAAGUUCACACUGUGACGGUAUCUUACCAG
rnacentral:rRNA from 1 species